rnacentral:rRNA from 1 species
GAUGAACGCUGGCGGCGUGCCUAAUACAUGCAAGUCGAGCGAACGGACGAGAAGCUUGCUUCUCUGAUGUUAGCGGCGGACGGGUGAGUAACACGUGGAUAACCUACCUAUAAGACUGGGAUAACUUCGGGAAACCGUAGCUAAUACCGGAUAAUAUUUUGAACCGCACGGUUCAAAAGUGAAAGACGGUCUUGCUGUCACUUAUAGAUGGAUCCGCGCUGCAUUAGCUAGUUGGUAAGGUAACGGCUUACCAAGGCAACGAUGCAUAGCCGACCUGAGAGGGUGAUCGGCCACACUGGAACUGAGACACGGUCCAGACUCCUACGGGAGGCAGCAGUAGGGAAUCUUCCGCAAUGGGCGAAAGCCUGACGGAGCAACGCCGCGUGAGUGAUGAAGGUCUUCGGAUCGUAAAACUCUGUUAUUAGGGAAGAACAUAUGUGUAAGUAAAUGUGCACAUCUUGACGGUACCUAAUCAGAAAGCCACGGCUAACUACGUG